UAUUUCCUGCGGUGUUCGAGAUUUAUCGCAGAACUUUCGACCCUAAUUAACAACUUCGGGGUACGGCUCUGUCGGCGUUAUUGAGCACGUCUGUUGCCAGAAAGCCUACGAUGUCACGACAUACCCCACUUAUUGCUCCGGAUCGAGAGCAACGGUAAGUCACGGCACAGGCGGGAAAUGC
rnacentral:other from 1 species